rnacentral:tRNA from 1 species
GCGGACGUGGCGGAAUUGGUAGACGCGCCAGAUUUAGGUUCUGGUGCCGCAAGGUGUGAGAGUUCGAGUCUCUCCGUCCGCACCA